rnacentral:lncRNA from 1 species
GAGGAAAUAGUAACUUUGUAAAAUUUUGUUAAUUAGUUUUUAGAUAGGAAUCAAUUAUGUAUUUGCGAGGAUGCUACACAGAUAGGAGUGAGACUAUAUAGAAUAGAUAUUAUUUUGUUUCUAUAAGAUAUUGGUAAAAUAGACUAAUAAUCUAUAAAAUAGUCAAUUCAAGAAAAUGGAUGAUUGAUUUACUUAUUAAAAGUGGAUAAUUAUAUGAUUACAUUUAGAAUCUGGAAAUUAGGAGCAAUUAUAUAGGAGUUGUAGAAGUUUGUUGGAGCGCCUGACUGUGAUAGUCAUGAGCUGGGGUAAGUUUGGUGCUCCCUCUUUUUGUCUUUCUUUUCUUUGUUAUUGAAAAGUAAUGAAUAAUUUCUGAAUACUAAGAAGUGAGUUUGUGGAAUAAGUCAGAGAUUGAUUUAUGAGUUAUUGAUUAUGUAAUUGGAGCACUGAGUGAUUGAAUUAUAUGAGGAGUUAUUGGAAGAUUAUAAUUGUUGUUUAUUGAGAAUUUUGUGUGUUUUGACAGAGGAAGUCUGUGAUUACAGAAAUCAUGUGAAUUCAGAUUGUUGGAGUGAAGUUUGUUAUUCCUAGUGUUGGAUGGAAAUUAUUGUAUUUUGAGUGGUGUUUUGAGAGUGCAAGGUUGCA